rnacentral:tRNA from 1 species
CCUGAUAGCAAGUGCUGUAACACUGUCUGCGAGGCUACAACUCGCCGCUUAUUGUCAGCCAUACUACC